rnacentral:rRNA from 1 species
UACAGAUGGUCCCAAGCGUUGUUCGGAUUCACUGGGACGUAAAGGGUGCGUAGGUGGCCAGGUAAGUCCGCUGUGAAAGCCCUGGGCUCAAACCUGGGAAUUGCAGUGGAUACUGGCAAGCUAGAGUGCGGUAGAGGAUGGUGGAAUUUCCCGGUGUAGCGGUGAAAUGCGCAGAUAUCGGGAAGAACACCCGUGGCGAAGGCGGCUUUCUGGACCGA